rnacentral:misc_RNA from 1 species
UCCAACUUAUCGCUGGCGGUCUCCUGCGAGUUCCCAACUGAAUGAUGGCAACACAGGACAAGGGUUGCGCUCGUUGCGGGACUUAACCCAACAUCUCACGACACGAGCUGACGACAGCCAUGCAGCACCUAUGUAAAGACCCUUUCGAGAAAUAUCAUUUCUGAUAUCGUCCUCUACAUUUCGAGCCCAGGUAAGGUUCUUCGCGUUGCAUCGAAUUAAACCACAUGCUCCACCGCUUGUGCGGGCCCCCGUCAAUUUCUUUGAGUUUUAACCUUGCGGCCGUACUCCCCAGGCGGAGAGCUUAAUGCGUUAGCUGCGUCACCGACACGCAUGCGUGCCGACAACUAGCUCUCAUCGUUUACAGCGUGGACUAC